GCCUCAGUGUUGCAGUGGUAGAGCACUCCUCUCUUGAUGGAAUGAAUAGCGCGUUCAAUUCCCACCUGAGGCA